UGUUUAAGCAGACACUGCAAGCAGGCUAAGCAUUUAUAGCUUGACAUGGCUGAAGUCAAUACCUCACCAAAAUUACAAUCAAUGUUUGGCUCAAAACUUGUCUAAUGGAAGUGUUUUCCCUUAUUUCUCUUUUUGUAUAGGCCCAUCAGAGUGAUUUCCUGAGUUCUCUCACACAUGGUCAGGGAAAUGGAUUAUCCAGUCACAGUACAUAAUGAAAGACUUGCCGAAGUUAGAAGAAGCUGAGUGAAUCUUCAGAGUGAUUGUUCAGAGAGAAGAUGUUAUGAUGUCUUACAAGAACCAAUGAAAUCUGGGAGACCUCAGAGUAUGUCCUUGCUGUGACUGUGCAAAAACAGCUAUGUUAUGCCCAUGAACGGAUUGGUGUUUAAAAGGGCCUGCGUUCAACAGUGUCUCUGUUUAAUGUGAAGAAAAUCCAUGGCAUUUGCACCAGAGGAGGAGCUUCAGUUACUGAAUAGUCCUAAACAAUGAACUGUGGUAAUGUUUCAAUUUCUAAAUGUUUUAAGAAUUACAGUUGUGUUUGUCUUUGAGGUUUUGUAUGGUACCUGUACCAUAGAUCUGUACUGUAAAACAAAUUCCAUUUGUGGUCAUUAAAAACUGAAUUGAAAUUGAAUUGCUUUUCCAAAUUCAUUUUGCUGAUGUAUGUUUAUGAUGUUGUCUCAAUUUUCCAGAGUCCUCUAGUGGCAACAAUAUUUAUAAUUUUAAUUUGUAUUGUAUUUUAUGGCAAAAAUUUGAAUCAUACAAUUGUAUUUUACGAUAUAUGUUUAAUUUUGCUCGUGGUAUUUAAUUUCUUGAGUGUGAUGUAUCCUGUUUAAACUGUGUGGGUGUAUUGCA